rnacentral:rRNA from 1 species
UACAGAGGGGGCAAGCGUUGUCCGGAAUCAUUGGGCGUAAAGGGCGCGUAGGCGGCCAUGCGUGUCUUCCGUGAAAUCCCUCGGCUUAACUGAGGACGUGCGGAAGAAACUGCAAGGCUCGAGUCCGGGAGAGGGGGGUGGAAUUCCCAGUGUAGCGGUGAAAUGCGUAGAUAUUGGGAGGAACACCGGUGGCGAAGGCGGCCCCCUGGACCGGUACUGACGCUGAGGCGCGAAAGCGUGGGUAGCAAACAGG